GACGAACGCUGGCGGCGUGCUUAACACAUGCAAGUCGAACGGAAAGGCCCUGCUUUUGUGGGUUGCUCGAGUGGCGAACGGGUGAGUAACACGUGAGUAACCUGCCCUUGACUUUGGGAUAACUUCAGGAAACUGGGGCUAAUACCGGAUAUGAGCUCCUGCUGCAUGGUGUGCGUUGGAGAGUUUCGGCGGUUCGGGAUGGACUCGCGGCUUAUCAGCUUGAUGGUGGGGUAGUGGCUUACCAAGGCUUUGACGGGUAGCCGGCCUGAGAGGGUGACCGGCCACAUUGGGACUGAGAUACGGCCCAGACGCCUACGGGAGGCAGCAGGGGGGAAUAUGGCACAAUGGGCGGAAGCCUGAUGCAGCAACGCCGCGUGCGGGAUGACGGCCUUCGGGUGGUAAACCGCUUUCGCCUGUGACGAAGCGUGAGUGACGGUAAUGGGUAAAGAAGCACCGGCUAACUACGUG
rnacentral:rRNA from 1 species